rnacentral:rRNA from 1 species
GUAAGACAGAACUGUGGGGACACGUGUGGAGAGCAUAGGCGCGGAAUGGAAAGCCGCGUGCAAGCGAGGUAGGAGUCCUGUAGGAAAAACCGCAGGGCAAUCCGAAGGCGUGAUGCGGACCGAAAUCUAGUAGGGAAGUAUGUGAGCCAUGCGUCAAGAAAAGCCGCUAUUGUUCUUAUUGUACCCGUACCGUAAACCGACACAGGUGGAUGAGGAGAGAAUCCUAAGGCCGACGGAAGAAGCAUUGUUAAGGAACUCGGCAAAAUGACCCCGUAACUUCGGGAGAAGGGGUGCCACAGAAAUGUGGCCGCAGAGAAUAGGCACAAGCAACUGUUUAGCAAAAACACAGGUCUAUGCAAAACCGAAAGGUGAGGUAUAUGGGCUGACGCCUGCCCGGUGCUGGAAGGUUAAGAGGAGAGGUUAGCGCAAGCGAAGCUUUGAAUUGAAGCCCCAGUAAACGGCGGCCGUAACGAUAACGGUCCUAAGGUAGCGAAAUUCCUUGUCGGGUAAGUUCCGACCCGCACGAAAGGCGUAAUGAUUUGAGCGCUGUCUCGACAAUGCAUCCGGUGAAAUUGAAGUACCAGUGAAGAUGCUGGUUACCUGCGCCAGGACGGAAAGACCCCAUGGAGCUUUACUCCAGCUUGAUACUGGGAUCCGGUAUUGCAUGUACAGGAUAGGUGGGAGGCUGAGAAUCGGUAACGCCAGUUGCCGAGGAGCCAUUGUUGGGAUACCACCCUUGCAGUACUGGGUUUCUAACCAGCAGCCGUGACCCGGCUGGGGGACAAUGUCAGGUGGGGAGUUUGACUGGGGCGGUCGCCUCCGAAAGGGUAUCGGAGGCGCUCAAAGGUUCCCUCAGAAUGGUUGGAAACCAUUCGAAGAGUGCAAAGGCAGAAGGGAGCUUGACUGCGACACCGACGGGUGGAGCAGGUACGAAAGUAGGACUUAGUGAUCCGGUGGUAUUAAGUGGGAAUGCCAUCGUCCAACGGAUAAAAGCUACCCUGGGAUAACAGGCUUAUCACUCCCAAGAGUUCACAUCGACGGAGUGGUUUGGCACCUCGAUGUCGGCUCAUCGCAUCCUGGGGCUGUAGUAGGUCCCAAGGGUUGGGCUGUUCGCCCAUUAAAGCGGUACGCGAGCUGGGUUCAGAACGUCGUGAGACAGUUCGGUCCCUAUCCGGCGUGGGCGUAGGAUAUCUGAGAGGAGCUGUCCUUAGUACGAGAGGACCGGGAUGGACGGACCGCUGGUGUACCUGUUGCAGUGCCAGCUGCAUGGCAGGGUAGCCAAGUCCGGAAGGGAUAAACGCUGAAGGCAUCUAAGCGUGAAGCCCCCCUCAAGAUGAGAUAUCCCAUUCGAAAGAAGUAAGACCCCUUGAAGACGACGAGGUAGAUAGGGCAGAGGUGGAAGUGCAGUAAUGUAUGGAGCUGACUGUUACUAAUCGGUCGAGGGUUUGACC